rnacentral:rRNA from 1 species
UUAGUGGCGGACGGGUGAGUAACACGUGGGAACGUGCCCUUUGGUUCGGAACAACUCAGGGAAACUUGAGCUAAUACCGAAUGUGCCCUUCGGGGGAAAGAUUUAUCGCCAUUGGAGCGGCCCGCGUCUGAUUAGCUAGUUGGUGAGGUAAAGGCUCACCAAGGCUACGAUCAGUAGCUGGUCUGAGAGGAUGAUCAGCCACAUUGGGACUGAGACACGGCCCAA